UACGGAGGGUGCGAGCGUUACCCGGAUUCACUGGGCGUAAAGCGUGCGCAGGCGGCCCGUUAAGACAGGUGUGAAAUCCCUGGGCUCAACCUAGGAAUUGCGCUUGUGACUGGCGGGCUCGAGUACGGUAGAGGGGGGUGGAAUUCCUGGUGUAGCAGUGAAAUGCGUAGAGAUCAGGAGGAACACCGAUGGCGAAGGCAGCCCCCUGGGCCUGUACUGACGCUCAUGCACGAAAGCGUGGGGAGCAAACAGG
rnacentral:rRNA from 1 species